rnacentral:rRNA from 1 species
AGCGAACGCGGUGAACUGAAACAUCUAAGUAACCGCAGGAAAAGAAAUCAACCGAGAUUCCCAAAGUAGUGGCGAGCGAAAUGGGAUGAGCCUUGCACUCUUUAUUUGUAUUGUUAGCCGAACGCUCUGGAAAGUGCGGCCAUAGCAGGUGAUAGCCCUGUAGGCGAAAACAGUAUGAAAGAACUAGGUGUGCGACAAGUAGGGCGGGACACGUGAAAUCCUGUCUGAAGAUGGGGGGACCAUCCUCCAAGGCUAAAUACUCGUGAUCGACCGAUAGUGAACCAGUACCGUGAGGGAAAGGCGAAAAGAACCCCGGGAGGGGAGUGAAAUAGAUCCUGAAACCGCAUGCAUACAAACAGUCGGAGCCUCGUAAGGGGUGACGGCGUACCUUUUGUAUAAUGGGUCAGCGACUUACGUUCAGUAGCAAGCUUAACCGUAUAGGGCAGGCGUAGCGAAAGCGAGUCCGAAUAGGGCGUUCAGUUGCUGGGCGUAGACCCGAAACCAGGUGAUCUAUCCAUGGCCAGGAUGAAGGUGCGGUAACACGUACUGGAGGUCCGAACCCACUAACGUUGAAAAGUUAGGGGAUGAGCUGUGGAUAGGGGUGAAAGGCUAAACAAACCUGGAAAUAGCUGGUUCUCUCCGAAAACUAUUUAGGUAGUGCCUCGUGUCUCACCUUCGGGGGUAGAGCACUGUCAUGGUUGGGGGGUCUAUUGCAGAUUACCCCGCCAUAGCAAACUCCGAAUACCGAAGAGUGCAAUCACGGGAGACAGACAUCGGGUGCUAACGUCCGGUGUCAAGAGGGAAACAACCCAGACCGCCAGCUAAGGUCCCCAAAUAUAGCUAAGUGGGAAACGAAGUGGGAAGGCUAAAACAGUCAGGAGGUUGGCUUAGAAGCAGCCACCCUUUAAAGAAAGCGUAAUAGCUCACUGAUCGAGUCGUCCUGCGCGGAAGAUGUAACGGGGCUAAGCUAUAUACCGAAGCUGCGGAUGCGUGCUUUGCACGCAUGGUAGGAGAGCGUUCCGUAAGCCUGCGAAGGUGCCUUGUAAAGGGUGCUGGAGGUAUCGGAAGUGCGAAUGCUGACAUGAGUAGCGAUAAAGGGGGUGAAAGGCCCCCUCGCCGUAAGCCCAAGGUUUCCUACGCAACGUUCAUCGGCGUAGGGUGAGUCGGCCCCUAAGGCGAGGCAGAAAUGCGUAGCUGAUGGGAAGCAGGUCAAUAUUCCUGCACCAUUGUUAGAUGCGAUGGGGGGACGGAUCGCGGAAGGUUGUCCGGGUGUUGGAAGUCCCGGU